GCAGUCUGCAGCAGAGUCUGCCGGGUGUCUAGCACCCGUCCGGGAGAAGGAUGGCGAAUAGGACCCCAAGUGGAAACAACGGAGCAGCAGCCUGCACAGGAAACGAGUGACUUCAGGGUCCGGGCUGAGUUUCAGAUGAAACUCAUGUCACCAGUCAGCCCUGCAAUGCGUGUGUCAUGCUCCGGUUUGCACUUAUUGAUGAAAUAAAGAAACACGGGCUGCAGCUAGGAAGAGCCCAGCAAGCCCUUCUCUGUGGUGCUGCUUGUCUCGCUGCCCUACCUCUGUUGCCACCUUCCCUUUCAUAUUCACUGUGGAAAGAUAGUCUAAUAAACCCCUGUUUUAAAUGACUCUGGUUCCUCCGCCCGUUCUUAUUCUGGGUUAAAGUCCAU
rnacentral:lncRNA from 1 species